CGACCGCACCACGCCCAUGUAGAGGCGGC
rnacentral:sRNA from 1 species